UGUAUGAUCAUCUAGUUCCAACUCCCCCAUCAUAGGUAGGGACACCUUCUACCACACCAGGUUGCUCAGAGCCCCAUCCAACCAGGCCUUGAACACUUCCAGGGAUGGGGCAUCCACAACUUCUCUAGACAACCUGUGCCAGUGCCUCAUCACCCUCACGGUGGCAAAGACACGGUGCUUCUUUUAAAAGAGUGAGAUCCCAGGGACUAAAAAAAUUAGGAGUGACUGCACAGAAAAAGUAGAAAAUCACAGUGUCAUUAAGGUUGGAAAAAACCUCUAAGAUCAUCGAGUACAACCAUUAACCCAGCACUGACAAGUCCGCCACUCAACCAUGUCUCUAAGCACCACAUCUACCCAUAUUUUGAACACUUCCAGAAACACCGACUGCAGCACUUCCCUGUGUAGCCAGUUCCAAUGCUUGACUACCCUUUCAAUGAAGAAAUUUUUCCUAAA